UAUUUCACUAAACAAAAAUUGUAUUUAAAAUUGAGGAGCCCUUGCCCUGUCGGGGAAAUGGGGGCAAGCGAAGCUUUGUGUCUGCGUGCCUGACGGUGCUACUUUUCUUUCUUUGUUUCUAUC
rnacentral:lncRNA from 1 species